UAAUACGAGAGGCCCAAACGUUAUUCGGAAUUACUGGGCUUAAAGAGUUCGUAGGCGGCAUUGCAAGUAGGGUGUGAAAGCCCUCGGCUCAACCGAGGAAUUGCGCUCUAAACUGCAGUGCUUGAGGAACCUAGAGGUGAGCAGAACAGAUGGUGGAGCGGUGAAAUGCGUUGAUAUCAUCUGGAAUACCGGAGGCGAAGGCGGCUCACUGGGAGUUUUCUGACGCUGAGGAACGAAAGCCAGGGUAGCGAACGGGAUUAGAUACCCCGGUAGUCCUGGCCGUAAACGAUGAGCACUAGGCCGGAGCCCUGCACAGGGUUUCGGCCGUAGCUAAAGUGUUAAGUGCUCCGCCUGGGGAGUAUGGUCGCAAGGCUG
rnacentral:rRNA from 1 species